GAUGAACGCUAGCGGCAGGCCUAACACAUGCAAGUCGAGGGAGAAGCCCUUUCGGGGGCAGAAACCGGCGCACGGGUGCGUAACGCGUAUGCAACCUACCUUUCACAGGGGGAUAGCCCGAAGAAAUUUGGAUUAAUACCCCAUAAUAUUAUUGGAUGGCAUCAUUUGAUAAUUAAAGCUGCGGUGGUGAAAGAUGGGCAUGCGUCCUAUUAGCUAGUUGGAGUGGUAACGGCACCCCAAGGCUACGAUAGGUAGGGGUCCUGAGAGGGAGAUCCCCCACACUGGUACUGAGACAGGGACCAGACUCCUACGGGAGGCAGCAGUGAGGAAUAUUGGUCAAUGGUCGGAAGACUGAACCAGCCAUGCCGCGUGCAGGAAGAAUGCCUUAUGGGUUGUAAACUGCUUUUAUAUGGGAAGAAUAAGGCGUACGUGUACGUUGAUGACGGUACCAUAUGAAUAAGCAUCGGCUAACUCCGUG
rnacentral:rRNA from 1 species